UCCACCCAGAGUGAUGUAAUUCAUCAUCUACAUACGGCAUAGAUAGCCUGUGUAUGGCUUUAGAGUAAGUGGGUGAGUUUGGAUCUACAUCAACCGUUGCCAGGAAAUCAGGCUUCUCUCUCUAAUUACCAUUAUAAACACAAGUAACGUAAAGAAGAGCUUCUCUAGGACCAGACAUGGCUUCCAGUGGAGUUCCAUAACCUGGUCACGUUCUGCAACACUCACUUUCUUCACCCAUCGCAGAUUUCUAUCGUUUUUUUCUUAC